rnacentral:lncRNA from 1 species
GUGUCUCCGAAGCAGUGGGCUGAAUCCCAGAUGCCUUUCCCAUGGAAACAGCGUUCUCAGUCUGCAAGACCCUCUUCCAGCCACCAGCCACCAUGCUGGGAGGAAGCCCAAUGAGCCCCGUGGACGGAUUCCCACUAAGAAGAACCAAAGGGUUCAGUCGGCAGCCCUGGCUGAGCUCCCAGCAACCAGGCAGCAUGCACUGCUGGCCACGUGACUGAGUCAUCUCAGACGCACCCCCUCCAGUCCCGGACAAGGCAUUCCGGGAAGGCUUCCUGAAGGAAGUGGCAUCU